GCAGUCGAGCGGACUUAUAAAAGCUUGCUUUUGUAAGUCAGCGGCGGACGGGUGAGUAACACGUGGGCAACCUGCCCAUAAGCCUGGGAUAACUUCGGGAAACCGGAGCUAAUACCGGAUAAUAUAAGGAACCUCCUGGUUCUUUAUUGAAAGAUGGUUUCGGCUAUCGCUUAUGGAUGGGCCCGCGGCGCAUUAGCUAGUUGGUGAGGUAACGGCUCACCAAGGCGACGAUGCGUAGCCGACCUGAGAGGGUGAUCGGCCACACUGGGACUGAGACACGGCCCAGACUCCUACGGGAGGCAGCAGUAGGGAAUCUUCCACAAUGGACGAAAGUCUGAUGGAGCAACGCCGCGUGAGCGAUGAAGGCCUUCGGGUCGUAAAGCUCUGUUGUUAGGGAAGAACAAGUGCGAGAGUAACUGCUCGCACCUUGACGGUACCUAACCAGAAAGCCACGGCUAACUACGUGCCAGCAGCCGCGGUAAUACGUAGGUGGCAAGCGUUGUCCGGAAUUAUUGGGCGUAAAGCGCGCGCAGGCGGUUUCUUAAGUCUGAUGUGAAAGCCCACGGCUCAACCGUGGAGGGUCAUUGGAAACUGGGGAACUUGAGUGC
rnacentral:rRNA from 1 species